rnacentral:rRNA from 1 species
GAUGAACGCUGGCGGCGUGCCUAAUACAUGCAAGUCGAGCGAACGGACCAGAAGUUUGCUUCUCUGAUGUUAGCGGCGGAGGGGUCAGUCACACGUGGAUAACCUACCUAUCAGACUGGGAUAACUUCGGGAAACCGGAGCUAAUACCGGAUAAUAUUUUGCACCGCGUGGUUCAAAAGUGAAAGUCGGUCUUGCUGUCACUUAUAGAUGGAUCAGGGCUGCAUUAGCUAGUUGGUAAGGUAAUGGCUUACCAAGGCAACGAGGGAUAGCCGACCUGAUGGGGUGAUCGCCUACCUGGGAAGGGAGACAGAGCCCAGACGCCUACGGUAGGCAGCAGUCGGGAAUCUUCCGCAAGGGGGGAGAGCCUGACAGAGCAACGCGGCGUGAGGGAUGAAGGUGUCCUGAUCGGAAAACGCUGUUAUGAGUGGAGAACAUAUGUGUAAGUAACUGGGCAGAUCUUGACGGUACCGGGUCAGAAAGCCACGGCUAACUACGUG